AUUUGUAUUUCAUGCAUAAUUUCACUUCAUCACAUUAGGAGUAUCAAGAGGAAUUAAUUGGGUGAUGAGAUAAAUAUUUCACGAAUACAUGAAAUUGUAUAAAAAAUCAUAUCAUAAGUGUUUCAUACAUUCAUAUCAUCACAUGAAGGAAUAUAAACAAAAAUUAGUGAUGAGAUAUUACUUCAUGAAUACAAUAAAAUUCAUAUAGCAUAUCAUGGUUUAUUAGACUUAG
rnacentral:lncRNA from 1 species